AAGAAGGAACUUCUUGCGGGAAGCCAGCAGCCGAGCGGCUUGGAGGCAGCGUACCUUGCAUCACGAACAAUGGCUAAUAUAGAUUGCAACUCACCUCCAGCAGUUCCAAUUUCAACCUGCUUUUCAAGAGGAAUCACAUCAAAGGAAUUGGAACAUAGUGUCAGAAACGUCACAAAAUCUUCCGUGGUUUUACUAAUCUGUGACCUCCACCGGAGUCUUCAAGAAGACGGUGUCUGUGUUUUGUUAUUAACGUUGUGCUUUAAAGGAGGAAAGCUUCCUGCUUUCUCCUUGCA